AAUGAACGCUGGCGGCAUGCCUAACACAUGCAAGUCGAACGAAGGCUUCGGCCUUAGUGGCGCACGGGUGCGUAACGCGUGGGAAUCUGCCCUUGGGUUCGGAAUAACUCAGAGAAAUUUGAGCUAAUACCGGAUGAUGACGUAAGUCCAAAGAUUUAUCGCCCAAGGAUGAGCCCGCGUAGGAUUAGCUUGUUGGUGAGGUAAAAAGCUCACCAAGGCGACGAUCAGUAGCUGGUCUGAGAGGAUGAUCAGCCACAUUGGGACUGAGACACGGCCCAAACUCCUACGGGAGGCAGCAGUGGGGAAUAUUGGACAAUGGGCGCAAGCCUGAUCCAGCCAUGCCGCGUGAGUGAUGAAGGCCCUAGGGUUGUAAAGCUCUUUUGUGCGGGAAGAUAAUGACGGUACCGCAAGAAUAAGCCCCGGCUAACUUCGUGCCAGCAGCCGCGGUAAU
rnacentral:rRNA from 1 species